CCCGAUUCCACCAUGCCUGGCAGGGUGAGGAGUGGAAGAAGUGUCUGUGAAGUGUGUCUUCAUGGGUGGGCUUGAGGCAGCUCAGAAGUCCUCCUUGAGUGUGGAUCACACAGACCCCCCAUUUCAGCACCGCGUGCCUCCCAGAGAACAGAUGCAGCCUUGAGGUGGAGGACCCUGACUGGACCAAGGGAGCAAGUUCACGGCGGGUCUUGGACAGGACAAGCAUUACUAUUCACCAGCAGCCCCAGGAACUCUCCCUGAGGCCCCCACUCCAGUCAUUUCAUAACCUGGCAAGAAUCGUGUCACCUUCCGGGGUUUUCAGCAC